rnacentral:rRNA from 1 species
UUGAUCCUGGCUCAGAAUCAACGCUGGCGGCGUGCCUAACACAUGCAAGUCGAACGCGAAAGCCCCGAAAGGGGCAAGUAGAGUGGCAAACGGGUGAGUUACGCGUGGGUGACCUGCCUUCGAGCGGGGGAUAACGUUUCGAAAGGAACUCUAAUACCGCAUAACAUCCUGCCUUUGAAGAGGUGGAGAUCAAAGCUGGUGAUCGCAAGACCUGGCACUUGAAGAGGGGCCCGCGUCCGAUUAGCUAGUUGGUGAGGUAACGGCUCACCAAGGCUUCGAUCGGUAUCCGGCCUGAGAGGUCGGACGGACACACUGGGACUGAGACACGGCCCAGACUCCUACGGGAGGCUGCAGUGGGGAAUUGUUCGCAAUGGGCGCAAGCCUGACGACGCAACGCCGUGUGGAGGAUGAAGACUUUCGGGUCGUAAACUCCUGUCGAAUGGGACGAAUAAGAUGUGGGUUAACAACCUGCAUUUCUGACGGUACCGUUAAAGGAAGCUCCGGCUAACUCCGUGCCAGCAGCCGCGGUAAUAAGU